AUGAAUUGUUUGAGCUAGAACUGUCGGGGGCUUGGGAACCUAUCGACAGUUCGUGAGCUUCGCAAGAUUGUGAAGCAGGAAGGACCCUCCCUUCUGUUUAUCAUGGAAACAAAGAUAAAAGGGACCAAAGUUGAGAGUCUGAAGAACCUCCUUGGUUUUUCGGGGUGUUUUGUUGUUGAUAGCAACGGCCUUAGUGGUGGCAUCGGUUUGUUCUGGACAGAUAAUGUGACUGUUGAAUUGAAGAACUACAGC
rnacentral:rRNA from 1 species